rnacentral:rRNA from 1 species
AUUGAACGCUGGCGGCAGGCCUAACACAUGCAAGUCGAGCGGAGCGGCGGACGGGUGAGUAAUGCCUAGGAAUCUGCCUGGUAGUGGUGGAUAACGUCCGGUAACGGGCGCUAAUACCGCAUACUAUCAAUUCAGCCUAGGUCGUAUUAGCUAGUUGGUGGGGUAAAGGCCUACCAAGGCGACGAGCCGUAACUGGACGGAGAGGAUGAUCAGUCACACUGGAACUGAGACACGGUCCAGACGCCUACGGGAGGCAGCAGUGGGGAAUAUUGGACAAUGGGCGAAAGCGUGAUUCGGCCAUGCCGCGUGUGUGAAGAAGGGCUUCGGAUUGUAAAGCACUUUAAGUUGGGAGGCGUUACCAACAGAAUAAGCACCGGCUAACUUCGUGCCAGCAGCCGCGGUAAUUC